UACGAAGGGGGCUAGCGUUGCUCGGAAUCACUGGGCGUAAAGGGUGCGUAGGCGGGUUUUUAAGUCAGGGGUGAAAUCCUGGAGCUCAACUCCAGAACUGCCUUUGAUACUGAAGAUCUUGAGUCCGGGAGAGGUGAGUGGAACUGGCGAGUGUAGAGGUGAAAUUCGUAGAUAUUCGCAAGAACACCAGUGGCGAAGGCGGCUCACUGGCCCGGUACUGACGCUGAGGUGCGAAAGCGAUGGGGAGCAAACA
rnacentral:rRNA from 1 species